GAGCUAAACAUAUCUAUCUGCUCAUUUCCACAUGGUAAGAGAGCAACACAAAACAGGUUUAUAAUAUUUGGAUGUUUUAUUUUCUUUAAAUCAAGCAGGUUACAUUUCAUUCAUUUUUACACAAACUGAUAUUUGGAGGCAUUUGCAAAUAUGCUCAUAAAUUACAUGAUUUGUAAUCCCAAAGAAUGAGGUGGUUAAUGAUCAAUAUUGGGAUCAACAGUGAUCACCCUACUAAUGCAUCCGUGGCAUACUGAAAUGCAAUCCAAAACAAAAUGGGUAAAGAUAAAGCAUGUUUAUUGAUGCGGCAAACAAAGGUUCAAAUAUCCUCCAAAGCACUUCAAGCCCUCAAAGAAUGAAACUCAAAACGCAGAUGAGGUAAAAGAAGAAACUUCUAAAUUAAAGUGGAGCGACCCAGGGACAAGUCUGGUUUGGGUUAAAGAUUAUGGAUGGUUAACUUUGUGUAACGUGUUUGGACAAGCAAGUUUAGGUUUUAGGCAAGCGACUUCAGGUAUUAGGCAAGCGACUUCAGGUAUUAGGCAAGCGAGUUUAGCCAAGCGAGUACUGGCAAGCGAGUCAAGCUAAGCGAGUUUAGGCAAGCGAGUCAAGCUAAGCGAGUUUAGGUUUUAUGCAAGCGAGUUCAGGUAAGAGAGUCAAGUUACUUUAGGCCUCACUUUAUUUGCGGUUAAAU